rnacentral:sRNA from 1 species
AAAAAAAAAUGAAAAAAAU